GUGUCAGCAGCCGCGGUAAGACAGAGGGUGCAAACGUUGUUCGGAAUUACUGGGCGUAAAGCGCGUGUAGGCGGUCGGGCAAGUCGGAUGUGAAAGCCCAGGGCUCAACCCUGGAAGUGCACUCGAUACUGCUCGGCUAGAGUCCCGGAGAGGAUGGUGGAACUCUCGGUGUAGAGGUGAAAUUCGUAGAUAUCGAGAAGAACACCGGUGGCGAAGGCGGCCAUCUGGACGGUGACUGACGCUGAGACGCGAAAGCGUGGGGAGCAAACAGGAUUAGAUACCCUGGUAGUCC
rnacentral:rRNA from 1 species